rnacentral:tRNA from 1 species
GGAGAGCCAGUGUGGUGUAGUGGUUAACAGUGAUGGACUCGUAAUCUGCUGAACUGGGUUUGAUUCCCUGCUCCUCCA